GACGAACGCUGGCGGCGUGCUUAACACAUGCAAGUCGUACGGUAAGGCCCUUUCGGGGGUCCACGAGUGGCGAACGGGUGAGUAACACGUGAGUAACCUGCCCACAACUUUGGGAUAACGCUAGGAAACUGGUGCUAAUACUGGAUAUGUGCUCCUGCUGCAUGGUGGGGGUUGGAAGCUCCGGCGGUUGUGGAUGGACUCGCGGCCUAUCAGCUUGUUGGUGGGGUAGUGGCCUACCAAGGCGGCGACGGGUAGCCGGCCUGAGAGGGUGACCGGCCACAUUGGGACUGAGAUACGGCCCAGACUCCUACGGGAGGCAGCAGUGGGGAAUAUUGCACAAUGGGCGCAAGCCUGAUGCAGCAACGCCGCGUGCGGGAUGACGGCCUUCGGGUUGUAAACCGCUUUCAGCAGGGACGAAGCUUUUUGUGACGGUACCUGCAGAAGAAGCACCGGCUAACUACGUG
rnacentral:rRNA from 1 species